GUAGCUUAAAAUCCUAGCGAUGGAAUCGCUGGCUCAAAGUCAUUUUGAAAGACAUUGCGAAACUUCCUUCCACGGAAAUUGUACCAAUUUUCAAUCCUCUAAGCAAUGUUGACAGUGCUCAUUUCCCCAUACUUUCUAAAACAUGAAUGGGCCAUGACUCCUCCAGCUUCACCCCUCUGCACAUCCGGCUGUCAUGAGAGCACCACACCCGGGAGGGCUUCCACUGCUCGGCUCCUGCCUACCUCACUUUCCAGGAUGCACUGAGGCCAGGGACACCAGCUGUGUAGAGGAGGAAUUAACAAGUAUUUCUGAGUGCCAACUAUGUCCCAGGCUCUACUCCAGGUGCCAGGCGAUAUAGCAGGUCUGUGCCCUCCGGAAGCUCACAGUCUAGUAAGAGUGACAAUCAGAUGAGGAAAGACCCAAAUAGGUGAGAUAAUCUGAAACAGCAACAAGUGCACCAAGAGAAGUAACAGGGAGAAAGAAUCUGGGAAGACCCGUCUUGAACGAGCAUCUGAGCUGCAGACCAGAUGGCUAGGAAGGAAAACCACCAUACUAAGAGCCAGAAGAAGAACGUUUUAGCAGCGAGAAGAGCAAGUGCAAAGGCCCUGAUCUUAGUCCUGUAAAAUCCAUUUCAAACUCUAAAUCCCAGAACUCUUAAGAUUACAGAUUUGUGUGGAGUUUCCUUCCAAUUCAAAAAUUGUGGUAAAAUACACACAACAUUUACCAUCUUAACCAUUUCUAAGUGUACAGUUCAGUGGUGUUAAGUACAUUCACACUGGUUGUGUGUAGCCAUCACCACCAUUCAUCUCCAGGCCUCUUUUCAUCCUGUAAAACUGAAACUCAUGAAAUACUAAUUCCCCAUUCCCCCUGCCCUUUGCAGUCCCAGUAACUCCUGGUAACCACUAUCUACUUUCCAUCUCUAUCAUUGACUCCUCUAGUGACCUCAUGUAAAUGGAAUCAUGCAGUAUUUGUGUCUUCGUGGGACACCUAGGUGGUUCAGUGGUUGAGCAUCUGCCUUCAGCUCAGGUCAUGAUCCCAAGAUCCUGGGACUGAGUCCUGCAUCAGGCUUCUUGCAGAAACCUGCUUCUCCCUCUGCCUCUGCCUCUCUCUCUCUCUCUCUCUCUGUCUCUCAUGAAUAAAUAAAUAAAAUCUUUACA
rnacentral:lncRNA from 12 species